GAAAUUUCUAACUGUCUUCUCGCCUCGCGAUAAAUUGACAAUAAUUUUAUUUAAUCUCGUUGGAGGUGACACCUGGGGAUCAACAUAGAUCCAUUUGAAAAUCACUGGUACAUAUAAUCAACUGACUCCAAUUCUUUGUCACUGGAAGAAGCAGUGGUAUCAGACAAUGCUGAAAACUGGCUGAAGAGGAGACUCACUUACAAGGGAACAGAUAGCAGUGCAUUUCCUUACUAAAUGUCACUUGGACCUAUUGAAGGCAUGGUCAACUUGGUGAGAAAAUGUGUUAAAGAUCAUUAAAAGAGUGAAACUGCUUGUGAAAAAUAGUAAACAUUGAAAAAGUGAAUUUUUCUGUCUGAAAAUGAACUGCAAGGUGCAGUGCAAUUUAACUUUUUGCAACCCAUGACAUUUAUUCUUUAAAGCAAGGCAGUAUUUGUAUAAAGUGAUAUGUAUCUAAGAAUGUAAUCUUUGUCUAUCCAAGAAGGACAUCACUUAUGAUGAAGAUGCCUAUUUUUAUUAAAAAUAUAAUUUGUGCCAAUCUACAAUAUACUAUAUGUAAAUAUUUUGCAUGGGGAUUUUCAUAUGGACAGUUCAUUUAAGUAGAAAUUUGAAAAACAUGUGUACUGUAGUUUUUGAUAACAGGAUUUCUUAUGUAAUAUUUUUUUGUGUAGAAUGUUAAACCCAAUUUCUGGGGUCACUUGUGGUCACUGAAUUGCCCAGUUAGCUAUUUGCAAUAUCUAUCUGGUCAAUCCAAUGAGGGGGUAAUGUGACGAAGCAAGGUGGGAUCUCUUUACUUCCUCUAUUGUUUUGCCAUCUGCCUCCUUAAAUUCAUUUUUGACUACUUACCUUUAACA